rfam:Triticum aestivum genome assembly, contig: Triticum_aestivum_CS42_TGACv1_scaffold_129551_2BL
UUGUCACCUGGAGUUCUCCUCAAACCACUUCAGUUGCUAGCUAGCUUUUGCCUCAUUCUUGCAUUGGCACUGUUUUAUAAGUGCACAAUGCGGGGAUAUAGAGUUUUGCAUAGUGAAGUGUUUGGGGGAACUCUGGGUGGCAA